rnacentral:lncRNA from 1 species
CUGACUGCCAAACGUUUCCAAGACAAUGUCGUUACUGGUAAGAAACUACAUUUCCCAGAAUGCAGUGAGGGUAGCAACCGGGCUACACAGUAGAGACAGGGUUUCACCAUGUUGGCCAUGCUGGUCUCGACCUCCAGAACUCAAGUGAUCCGCCCGCCUCGGUCUUCCAAACUGCUGGGAUUACAGGCGUGAACCACCGCGCCCAGCCUUUGCAGAAGUUCUUUUUACCGUCCAUCAUCCAUUGCUACCACACCUUCUGCUUACAAGUUAUUUAUAAUAAGUUUAACUAAAAGAGAACGAGGGAACAUCCCCUGAAACCCAUAGUUUGUCAUUCUAUACAGCUUUCCUGCCUGCAAAAAAGGUGGAGCAGACUCAUCCAGCAAAUCACCGAAAAAGUUUGAAGAUCAAAAAGCCUAGCUCCAUUUUCAGAUCCUCCCUCGAUCUUUCUGAACACUAGUUUCUUCCUCUGAAAAACGAAAGAGGGAACGGGACCGUAGAGUGGAGUGGGCACAAGAAUCGCAAGUCCUUUCUGGCUAUGACGCUGCAAGACUCUAGGUACAGUUUAGGACUCUGGGCAUUCAGAUCCCCGGGACUUGUCAAGUUCUCCUCAUUGACAUUUUUGAUAUUUUGUGACAACACAAAUUCAUCACAUUUUUGUGGUGUGUGUUAUAUGUGGGAAGGAGAUUUCAGAAAGAUUGCCUUUUGAAGUUAUUGGAUAGCUGUGUUACAGAAGAAAACAUUGCCUUCAAGAAGUUAUUGGAUAGAUAUGUUACAGAAGAAAAGACGUUUAUUUCAUUUUUGACUUUGCAGGAAAAAUUCUUUUUCUGCAUAUGUAACACAUCAGAAUUCUUCUCUCCUCCCUAGCCUUAGUCGAGUACCUGAGGGGCAUUAAAGGACUUCCUCCUUGCAAUCACUUACCCAGCAUAGUCCUUAAUACAGGUAUCUUCAGUGUUGAAUGAAUGAAUGAAUGUUCAUUGUGUUUGAUUACCUUAGAUUUACUUUCCAAAAGUGUCUUACUUGAGGAAGACCACAUGUACACAAAAAAAAUCAAACUUUAAAACAGAGUAAGAGACCAUUCACACUACAAAUAGAUUCUUUGGUUUAUAAAAGAUGUGUUAUAGUGCUCCCAUAAAUAGUGAGGCACUCUUCUGUAUCAGAUGGCACAAAUUUGAUUACAUAUAACUACUAAGUGCUUUUCCGUGGUCUGUGGUUCAUAGUGUGGGUGCCUGUGGUAUGCUAAGGUCUCUAUUUUACUGAUAGCCACAGUUAAAACAUAUUUCUUAAAACCAAAUAAACAGUCCAUCAUCACCAGCCAAAUGCUAGGAGAGUGCUGACUGCUAUUUUAGCUGCUUUCUCCUAGGCAGAAUGAAAAGAAAAAUAUGUUAA